AAUCCCAUUGUAGUGUCUUCCACUCAUUACCAUGAAUGGAUGGCUAUGCUAAUGGGAUAGAAAAACUCUUGUCAUGGUCUGAAGGUGUGGCUGCUUCUGUGUUUCCUCACCCAAUAAAAUGACAGGAUAAUUCAAA